rnacentral:lncRNA from 1 species
AUGCAGUGAAUGUGAGCGGACCGAAUGCUGAGAACAUCUCGGAUUUGGAUUUUCCGGAUACAAUGGUGAUUGUUGGUGGGUUCGACCCGUUAAAAGAUUGGCAAAGGAGGUAUUAUGAGUGGUUACAGAGAUCCGGGAAAGAGGCUACCUUAAUUGAGUAUCCAAAUAUGUUUCACGGCUUUUAUCUCUUCCCGGAGCUGCCCGAGGCUUUACAAUUAUUCUCGAAGGUCAAAGAAUUUGUUGCCAUGAGACUGUCUAGGCUAUAAGCAAAACAAUCGGACGCCCGCCCUCCAUGAAUCGAAAGCACUGCAUUCUUAGUUUUUGGGGUCACCGGGCUGAUGCAUCGUGAGGUGCUAAAAUGCCCAGGAAUUCCAUCAUUAUCCACAGUUACCGCGGGUUCAUAAGGGACUGUCGUGGAUUUUAUGUUGAGAUUUUUUGUUUUAAAGUAAUAGCAAGUUGUCGUUUGGAUUUUAGAAAAAGGGCAAAAUAUCGCAUGUCUGCGAUAGCUACCUCUUGUGUCCAAAGAGGGCAGGCUUUCACUGUGCCAACGUUUUUUUUUUUUUCAGAAUAAUUACUAAAUAAUCUUUUAAAAAAAUUCUAUUUGGCUCAGGGACUAUUUGGAUUUCUCUCUUUUUUUUUCAUGUUAAUUAUUUAAAUAUCUCCAAAAAAUUAACUCUCUAUGCUAUAGAUUUUAAGUCAUUUUAAGUUUCUUUAUUACUUUUUUUUUCCUUUUAUGUAUGGUUAAGGAUGAUUUGGUAUCGUAAUAUAUAUAAAUUAAUAUUAUUAAAUUGCAAAAGUUGCUAGCAUCACCCACACAACAUUAAAUAUCACUGUUAAAAACGGUGUUUGAUGCACCUCAUUACUCUAUAGUGAUUUUUAAAUAUUUUUUUCAUUGUUUUUUUUUUUAAUUUCAUUAUUUUAUAGUUUGAUUUAUGAGGUUAGAUGAUCAUUAUUUUUUUUAAUUUCUUUUUCUACUAUGUUAAGUUGUUUUUUUUAAAAAAAAAAUUGCUCUUUAAAAUACAAUAAUAACACUUUAGCAUUGUUUUUAUUUUUUUAUUAUAAAGAAUUUAGCUUGGCCCGCAGUGAAGCAUGGGAUAUCAAUCUAGUUAUAUCUAUUUAUAGAAAAGAUCUUAUUAUGUAAUGAAUGAGAAUCUCAUGUUUUGAAUAAGGGAAUCUCAUAAGUGAAUUUUAUAAAUUCAUUUGUUAAUGUUUUUUAUAAGUCGUUUUUAUAAGAUUACAUGCAAGGAAGGGAUGGAUUGUAGGUGAUAUAACAUCUUCGAGAUCCGAAAUUCUUCUUAAAACCUAUAUAGCAUUAGGUCAAAAAUCUCUAAUGGCACCCCGCCCAAAUUACAGACAAAUUCACUUUUAUUUACUUAGUAAUUCCAAUAUCAACCAACUGGCAAGAAUUUUAAACCCCAAACACUUUUAAAUAAAAUGCAUAACCUACAACUAUAUAUAUAUAACACGAAGAGGACUUAGUGAUUUAUUGUGAGAUUUGAGAGGAAUUAUUGAGGAUUUUAAUAUAUAUAUUAAUUCCUCUUUUUUUGAUCCCUAGAGUUUUUUUUUUUCAUUUUGGUCCAUUUUUUUUUAUAUGGUCUUUUAACAUUGUAUUGAUUUGAGAUUAGUCUUAAUAAUUUAUUUUUUAUAUUUGCAUAUGAGGAUCUUGCAUUGUCAGGGAAAUGUUUUUUCAUGAACGAACUAAGCACAUUGAGAUCGAUUGUCAUUUAACUUUUCAUCAUCUCAAGCACGACACAAUUACUUUGCCCUUCGUUCCUUCUUCUUCGCAGAUUAUAGAUUUCUUUACCAAGUCAUAUUCUAUUUCCUGUUUUUAUUUUCUGGUUGACAAACUAUUGAUGCUUAUAGUUGCCGCAUCGUGAGUUUGAUGGAAGAUAUUAAAAAAUCUAAGAUCAUUUUGUUUUAUUGUUUAUUAAAGAUGGAAUAAUCUUUAGAUUUUCUUUUCAGUUUUCUUUGUUUAGCUUGUAUAUAAUCUCUUUCUAUUUCAUGUUAAACAUAUUCCUUUUGAUAAUUUUGAUUGUAUCAAUGUCAAUAAAAGUUUUUUUAGUUGUGUGAUUGCGAUUGCUUUUUAAAUCGAUUUUUUUUUGGAAAUGCAUUAAAAUAAUGUAUUUUUAUUUUUUUUAAAUUAUUUUUGAUAUCAACACAUCAAAAUGAUCUAAAACACUAAAAAAAUAUUAAUUUGAAGCAAAUAAAAUUAAGAAUUAUUAAAUUUUUACAAUUAUCAAAUACAUUACUGUGUUUUUUGCACCGCAAACAUAAAAACAGGUGCAGCACAACUGGACCCUUGAUCUCAACUCCAAUUCUUCUUCUUCUUUUUUCUUAUGAAUUGAUUCUAUUAUUUCAUCCAUUUAUUAAUCAAGUCCUUCUAUUUAAAUCUAAUAGUAAAACUAACAAAAAAAAUAUCGUUUUAAUUUUUUGCGUAGACCUCAAUUUGUUUCCUCUAAAAAAUACAGAUAGUUUGCUAAAAACAAAAUUUAUUAAAAAUCUCAAUCAAUAAAAGCAGCGGAAAGAUACAAUGCCAAUUUCACAAAAUCCAAUCAAUAUUUUUUUUUUAUAUAGAGAUAUAUGGUAUAUUUUAAAAAAUAAAAAAAAUUCAAUUUUCUAAACCUUGAACGAAAUAUCAUAUCAAAAGGAAAUUGAUAGAUCCUAUAUAAAAUUCAAGGAGAAAAUGAAAUUAAACCAAAAUUUAUUUGAUGGCUAGCAUUUAUCAACAUUUAACAAUAAUAAAAAAUUAAAUACUUGAAACAGAUUUAUCAACAUCACUCUCACAGAUACCACUCAUCUCGCUGAAAAAGUUAGAGCCAGCUUUCAACUACUUGUGAGCCAGAAGCCCAUCCCUUUUGAUAUUUCUUUGGAACCAUUUAUUGUGAGGAUGAGGAAACAUUUUACCCCAUAAUACACACACACACACAAAUCACGAGCUAUGUAUAAAAUAUUUUUAGACUAAAAUACUCUUAAUAUUUUAUAAAUUAAAAUAGGAAUUUUAAUAUCUAUAUUUUUUUAUCAUAUAAUGUUAAUUAUUAGUAGUUGCAUUAAUUUUUCUUUUCGUGUAAUUAAAAAAAAAAUUCAGCAUAUUAACAUUAGUCAGUUUUUUUCCUAAACGACAACAUUUUACCAAUUGUGUUAUUUUAUAAUUUUUCUUUAUUUAUGCUAAUUACUUUUUUUUUUUUAAAUAUGCUAAAUUUCAUAAAAGUCAAAAUUUGCAGGAUGGCUGGGAGACGGGAGAAAGAUACCCAAGGGUCAUGCCAUUAACUUUAUUUUUAAUUCAAGGUUCUUAUAAUUAGUGAUGGCACUUAAAUCGUUACAUUUGAAUUUGAUGGGUUUUUUUAUAUUAUUUUAUUAAAUAUAGAAGUUUAUUUUUAAUUGAUACAAGAAAUUUUAUAAUACUUAAAUUAUAAUUAAUAACAUUCAUGCUAUAGGAGAAAGAAAAAAACAAGAAAAAAAUUAAAAAGAUAAUUUUUUAAGAUGUAAAAUUAUUUUUAAUGAGAAAGAAAUUAUUUCUCCUCUUUUUAUAUUUAUCUUUUUACCGUAAUUAUUGCUAUUAUAGCUUGACCAUUAUAAAGAUUUUCCAACAUUAUGCCAUGAAACAAUGACUAAAUAUAGUAGAAAAUGGUAAAUUAGAAAGCCAAUCCAUGUAGGGUAAAGGGUGUCCAUUCCGUUUCAUUUCGUUUGUGAUGGUCAAUAUAUCUCAUUCCGGUUUAAAAAACAAAACAAAUCGAAACAUAUUUUAUUUCGCUCUCUUGAUCCGUUCUGUAAAUUCCAUCCAAAUUGGCCAAAACAUUAUGGUUAUAUUCUAGUUGUUUCGUUUAGGUCAAAUAAUAUUUUUUUAAAAAUAUUAUUUAGUUUUAGGGUAUCAAUUAUAUCUUUUAAUUCAAUUAUUAGAUUAGACUGAUAUUUUACAAAGAGUCUUCAAACAUGUAAUUAUAUCUCAAGUUAAAAGUUUAGGGCAAUAGGAAGUUAGAUUUUAGAAAAGUUUUGCAAGACUGUCAUUGUUAUUUUUGUAAUUUUAUUCAAAUUUAUAAUUUUGUUUUAAAAUGUCAUUUUUGUCAUUUUUUUUAUGUUGAAAUUUUUGCAAUUUUAUUAUUCAACAAUAGGUUUAUUGAGAAUUGAGCUUCAUAACUUGUUUUGAUUUAUUUUAUUUGGGGUUAUUAUGUUCUCGUGAAUUAGGUUAUAAAUUUAGAAAAUUAACUCAGGUUGAUUCGGGUUAAUUAAAUAUAUUGUCGUCUCAAAAAGUUUCUUAAAAAAAAUGUCAAAAUUUUUAGACUCAUUGAGUCGAUUAAAUCAUAUAUGUUUAACUUUCAUUUUAUUUAUUUAUUUGUGUUUUAAAUUUAAAUUGCAUAAUUUUAAAUUAAUUUAUCUUUAAAUUUAAAUUUAAAUAUAUAUAUAUAUAUAUAUAUAUAUAUUCAACUUUAAAUGAAAUAUUGAAUUGCUACAAAAUAAAACAUACCGUUUAAAUUUAAAAAAAAAACACCAACUACAAUGGAAUUGACAACCAUGUUAGGGGUAUAUAUGCAAUAACUUUCCAAAUUCCAAAGAUAAAAAAAAGUCAAUCAAUCCUUUCAUAUGUUGUUAUAAUUAAGGUCGUGAAUUUCGUUUUGAUAAGUGUUUUAUUUUUUCAAUUAAAAUGAAAUGUUUUAGUUUCAGAGUGUUUUAGUGUAGCGUUUCAAGGUUGUACUGUUUAUAUAUAUAUAUAUAUAUAUAUAUAUAUAUAUAUUCAACAAAUAUAAUUCAAAUUAAUUAUAAAUUAUGCAAUACAAAAACAAUGUAAAAUAAAUAUAAUUUCAAAAUUUAAAAUAUUUCUAAAUAGUCAAAAUUAAAUAAAUUUUUAACGUAAAGUAAUUCAACUUAAACAAAAUAUUAAAAUAUUAUGAAAUAACACAAAUAUUUUAAAUAUAAAGUUAGAUCAAUGUUAUCAAGGCUAAUUGAAUCUAAAGCAUUCUUUAUUUUCCUCAAAUUCCUACAAAGUAUAAACAUGAAAAAAAAAACAUGAAUAUACACCAUAUAUAUUAGUGAUAAAUCUAAUUUUAAAAAAUUAAUAUCAUUGUUAAUAAAAAUAGUAAUAAUAAUUUUUAAUAAUAUUAUUAUUAAUAUCAUUGUUAUUGAAAAUAGUAAUGAAAAAUAGCUUUCUAUACUUGAAUGAUUUAAUUAAUUAAAUUGAACAAAAUUUAAUUUGAUUUAAUGAUUUUUCAAAACUGGAAUGAAAUAUAUAAAAUGAAAUCGAAUAUUUCGGUCAAAAUUUAGUUGAUAAAUAAAAUCUAAAAUGAACCAAGAAAUAAAAUAAAAUGAAAAUUAUUUUAUUUGAUGAAUUAAUAUAAAAUGUUUCCGUCAUUUUAAAUAAAAUGGAAUGGAAUUGAAAACCUUGCUUGUAGCUUUUGCUCACGCCAUUGGCCCUACAUGACCAACCAAGAGCUACUCCAUAUCCUCCGCUAGAAAUUCAGCCAUUAAAAACCUUCAACUAGUCUUCCAUCUUCUUAUUUUCACUCUUUUCCUUCUUCUAUCUUUGUAAACAUGAGCAGUGAAAAACCAGAACCGGCAAAGCUAGCCAUCCCAUGGAGGACACGACUGGUCCUUGCAAUGAUCUCAGCGGCAACAGAUCUGUCACGUCGUUCAAACGGCACCAUAAACAGACGUUUGCUUAAUCUCCUUGACUUCAAGUCCUCUCCUUCCCCUAACAAACCCAUUCACUCCAUCAUAUCUUCUGAUAUCACCGUGGACCCCACCCGCAACCUCUGGUUCCGCCUCUACACCCCGGAAAAUAGCGGGGUUGACGGUAGCGACACUGCCUCUUUGCCUGUUGUGGUAUUUUUUCAUGGAGGUGGCUUUUCUUUCCUAAGUGCCGCAUCAAGUGCGUACGACGUCGUUUGUCGCAGGUUUGCACGUAAAUUUCCUGCUAUUGUUCUUUCAGUUAACUACCGCCUUACGCCUGAACAUCGAUUUCCCUGUCAAUACGAUGACGGUUUAGACGUGCUUCGGUUCCUAGACAACGAUCGAGCCAAUGGGUUACUGCCACCUAAUGCAGACUUGUCUAAGUGUUUUCUGGUUGGAGAUAGUGCCGGGGCAAAUUUGGCCCAUCAUGUUGCGGUUCGGGCUUGUCGGGAUGGGUUUCAGAAUGUUGAGGUAAUUGGAUUGGUUUCUAUUCAGCCGUAUUUUGGCGGGCAAGAGAGGACCGAGUCGGAACUCCGACUGGUUGGAUACCCGUUCGUGACGGUGGAACGAACCGAUUGGUGCUGGAGAGUGUUUUUGCCGGAUGGAUCGGAUCGGGAUCACUAUGCAGUGAAUGUGAGCGGACCGAAUGCUGAAAACAUCUCGGAUUUGGAUUUUCCGGAUACAAUGGUGAUUGUUGGUGGGUUCGACCCGUUACAAGAUUGGCAAAGGAGGUAUUAUGAGUGGUUAAAGAGAUCCGGGAAAGAGGCUACCUUAAUUGAGUAUUCAAAUAUGUUUCACGCCUUUUAUAUCUUCCCGGAGCUGCCCGAGUCUUCACAGUUAUUCUCGGAGGUCAAAGAAUUUGUUGCCAGGAGACUGUCUCAGCUAUAAGCAAAACAAUCGGACGCCCGCCCUCCAUGAAUCGAAAGCACUGCAUUCUUAGUUUUUGGGGUCAUCGGGCAGAUGCAUCGCGAGGUGCUAAAAUGCCCAGGAAUUCCAUCAUUAUGCACAGUUACGUUUAUGUUGAGAUUUUUUGUUUUAAAGUAAUAGCAAGUUGUCGUUUGGAUUUUAGAAAAAGGGCAAAACAUCACAUGUCUGCGGUAGCCCUGUUCUACCUCUUGUAUCUUUCGGGGACAGCUUGCCCGACCUGGGGAAAAAAGAAGAUAAUAGCAAUGUCAAUAUAACACUUUUAUUACUCUAUAAUAAAAGAGGGCAGGCUUUCACUGUGCCAAUUUUUUUUU